UUGCAUGCAGUUGCUUGGACAUGGAAGCACAGUUUUUGUCCUGGCGUUAAUGCCAGAGGAUGUUCAGAACUCUGCAGCUACUGGGUCAAUAGAAUGUUGAAUAUUUUUUAUGCGCCAUGCACCUCAGCGUUCGGUGACCCUGCGCUGUUACCGUAUAUGGUCUGCCACUUCGUUGGUGAGUUUUUGUCGUUAUGAAACGCUUCCACUUUGCAAUAAUACCACUUACAGUUGACUGUGGAAUAUAUAGCAAGGAAGAAAAUUCACAGACUGAUUAAUUGCAACCGUGGCAUCCUAUGUCAGUACCAUGUUUGAAUUCUCUGAGCUCUUCAGAAUAACCCAUUAUUUCUUAAAUUUCAUAAACCUGCCUGCAUGGCAAAGUGCACCUGUGGCAAUGGGUCUGGAUGAAACACCCGAAUUCAAUGAUUAAGAGGUGUGUCCAUAAUACUGUUUGUCCUUAUAAUGUUUCUCAGUUUUUAAUUUUCUUUCAAAGAUUUGAAAAUUAUUGAUUUUGACUUGGCAGACUAUGUCCUGGGUGUGACAUAAAACUGCGUCAGGCCCUGCGAGCGAUCCUCCAACUUGUGGGGAAAACUUUGGGGGUCAGUGGCACGAUUGGCACUCCAGCUACUGUAAACACUUUUCGCACAGCUCAGAGGCAGUGGACAGGACUCCUCUCUGUUGUCACACCCCGCAUUCCUGCCCCUCGCUCUCUCCCUAACACCUGUUGCUUGUUUUGUCAUACCUCUCAAUCGAGCCCUCGUGUGGAUCACUCCAGCUGCCCCUCAUCUGCUCCCUCGUCAGUCCUGUGCUCCCCAGUCCAGUCAUUGAUGUCAAGCCCCAGUGUAUGCCUGAGUCCUUCCCCUCUCUUGGUUCCCUAUUAUCUAACCCCUUGAGGUUUGUUUUGUUUCCCAGCACCUGUUUAAGUGUAAAUAAAGGCUUCUUUGUUUUGGCCUCAUGCUUGCUUUCACUUCCCUGAUUCUGGGACAUAGCAGAAUGACAGGAAUCUGCAAGUUACAAACAGGGGUGGAAGUAAUGAAUUACAACUACUCACAUUACUGUAAUUAAGUAGUUAUUCCGGGUAGUUGUACUUCCAUCCAUCCAUUUUCCAAACCGCUUAUCCUACUGGGUCGCGGGGGUCCGGAGCCUAUCCCGGAAGCAAUGGGCACGAGGCAGGGAACAACCCAGGAUGGGGGGCCAGCCCAUCGCAGGGCACACUCACACACCAUUCACGCACACAUUCACACCUAUGGGCAAUUUAGCAAGUCCAAUUAGCCUCAGCAUGUUUUUGGACUGUGGGGGGAAACCGGAGUACCCGGAGGAAACCCCACGACUACAUGGGGAGAACAUGCAAACUCCGCACACAUGUAACCCAGGGGGAGACUCGAACCCGGGUCCCAGAGGUGUGAGGCAACAGUGCUAACCACUGCACCACCAUGCCGCCCCGUAGUUGUACUUUUAUAAGUAUAUUUUUAAGUCUGUAAUUUUACUUGUACUUAAGUACAAAUUAAAGUAAGGAAUCUACUUUGCUACUUUUAAAAUCACAAUUCGUUCCUGAGUACGCCAACAGUUUGAAUUAAUAUUUCGGCAUUUCAGUAGCCAAUAAAGGUAUCCGAUGGCAAACAGACCAAUGAACCCUGAUUUCUGGAUUGGAAAAAAGCACCCGGCCCCACUGCAGCGCGUUGUGAUUAUAAUCGCACAGUGAAGGAGUUCGGAGUAAUGUAAAGAACGAACAUCUGGAGAAACAAACUUCAUGGAGGACAGCAACAUUCAAAACAGUGAAAAUAACGCUGAAAUACCGGAGGACGAGUGACGUUUGAGUGCCCCUGGCUGCACUUGGAGGAGCUGUUCAUGUACAGAGGGAGGAAAGGAGACAGCGAGGUGAUGCAGUGCAAACUUUGCCAUCUGUGUUGAUUUCUGCAUAAGAAGUCAGAAGUCUUCAGCUUCCAAUCUUAAAAAACACAUUAUGAGGAAACAUCCAUUAAACACUGAUCAGUACCAUGACAUCAUUGUGACAGCUAGUCGACAAUGGAAGAGUACAUCCACAUCACAUAAGCAGGCCAAGUUGCCAGAUGUGAUGUUGGUAGCAGCAAGCAAACGUGUCCCUCAAACGACUGUUGACAAGCUUAUCAUCAAUUUCAUAUGUGAAGAUCUACAGACAUUUGCAGUGGAUGAACAGCCAGCUCUCAAAGAAUUAACUACCACAUUGCAACCUCAAGCCAAAGUCAUCUCCGGUUCCCAAGAGUGAUUAAAACAGCGAGGCUGAACAUGACUGAUUGGUAGACCUCAUACAAAAGAGCAGUGCUAAACUUUAAACUGUUUUUUAAACCUAUACUAUAUAACUUUGAAAAGAAACAAUCAUUAAAAUUACAAUACUUA